UGCGCAGUCCCCGGGAGCAGCGUGGCGGCGGCAAGGGCGCGGGUCUCGGCGGCAGCGGGUGAGCGCCAGGACCACCGAGGCUGCGCUGAGGGCGUGGUUGUCUGUUCCUCCCUUGGGGAUACCGUUGACUGCACCUGCCUCAGGCUUGUAUGGGUUGUCUCUGCCUGGCCUCAUGCUCCUCGUGGCGUGGGAGCAAAAAGGGACAGGCAGAGCGCUUACUGGCUGUGGACAAGAGCUGCUGCAGCUGGAGAGACUAGAAAAAGGUAAAGCUGCUGAAGAAUAAAAUAAAGGGGAUCCAGCCAGCAGCUGCAGACAGGAGACAGCCUGCCUCUCCAGCUGUAUUGUGUUUUCCUGGAAUUGCUGACUUUAUUGAAGACAGAAUGUUGGGUUUUUUUUCACCAGUUUUGCUGUAUGCUGUGUAAAUUGCUGAUAUUAUCUCUCUUAAUAGGACUGAUGAUGAGAUUAUCUAGCAGGGGUUAGGAUGAGCAUCUUGAAUGCAUCUGUAUAUGGAGUUUCUCAAGAAAGCAGCAGGGACAUAAGGUACAGUGUCUUUCAAGGUAGGGGAUGGCUUAUUGCCUUUCCUGAUUGUUCACCAGAGUGCCAUGUUAUCCCUAGAACCUUUGCAGCUUAUGGCAAGUUCCCUUGUAUGUUAUAAAUGUCAGGACUUCACUUCUUGUUGGUUUUGCACGUGCCUUA